rnacentral:rRNA from 1 species
AUUGAACGCUGGCGGCAUGCUUUACACAUGCAAGUCGAACGGCAGCGCGGGCUUCGGCCUGGCGGCGAGUGGCGAACGGGUGAGUAAUACAUCGGAACGUGCCCAGUAGUGGGGGAUAGCUCGGCGAAAGCCGGAUUAAUACCGCAUACGACCUGAGGGUGAAAGCGGGGGAUCUUCGGACCUCGCGCUAUUGGAGCGGCCGAGGGCAGAUUAGCUAGUUGGUGGGGUAAAGGCCUACCAAGGCGACGAUCUGUAGCUGGUCUGAGAGGACGACCAGCCACACUGGGACUGAGACACGGCCCAGACUCCUACGGGAGGCAGCAGUGGGGAAUUUUGGACAAUGGGCGAAAGCCUGAUCCAGCAAUGCCGCGUGUGUGAUGAAGGCCUUCGGGUUGUAAAGCACUUUUGGCGGGAACGAAAAGGACUGUGCCAAUACCACGGUUCGAUGACGGUACCCGCAGAAUAAGCACCGGCUAACUACGUG